rnacentral:rRNA from 1 species
CCUACGGGGGGCAGCAGUAAGGAAUAUUGGACAAUGGGCGCAAGCCUGAUCCAGCCAUGCCGCGUGAAGGAUGAAUGCCCUAUGGGUUGUAAACUUCUUUUAGCAGGGAAAAAACCCCUCGAUGCGUCGGGGGCUGAUGGUACCUGCGGAAUAAGGAUCGGCUAACUCCGUGCCAGCAGCCGCGGUAAUACGGAGGAUCCAAGCGUUAUCCGGAUUUAUUGGGUUUAAAGGGUGCGUAGGCGGAUGAAUAAGUCAGUGGUGAAAGCCUGCAGCUCAACUGCAGAACUGCCAUUGAUACUGUUUAUCUUGAAUAUGGUUGAGGUGGGCGGAAUAUGACAUGUAGUGGUGAAAUACUUAGAUAUGUCAUAGAACACCGAUUGCGAAGGCAGCUCGCUAAGCCAUUAUUGACGCUGAGGCACGAAAGCGUGGGGAGCAAACAGGAUUAGAUACCCUUGUAGUC